AUUGAACGCUGGCGGAAUGCUUUACACAUGCAAGUCGAACGGCAGCACGGGAGCAAUCCUGGUGGCGAGUGGCGAACGGGUGAGUAAAGUAUCGGAACGUGCCCAGUCGUGGGGGAUAACGUAGCGAAAGUUACGCUAAUACCGCAUACGAUCUACGGAUGAAAGCGGGGGAUCGCAAGACCUCGCGCGAUUGGAGCGGCUGAUAUCAGAUUAGGUAGUUGGUGGGGUAAAGGCUCACCAAGCCGACGAUCUGUAGCUGGUCUGAGAGGACGACCAGCCACACUGGGACUGAGACACGGCCCAGACUCCUACGGGAGGCAGCAGUGGGGAAUUUUGGACAAUGGGCGCAAGCCUGAUCCAGCCAUGCCGCGUGCAGGAUGAAGGCCUUCGGGUUGUAAACUAGCUUUUGUACGGAACGAAAGGUUAGGCUUAAUAAGCUGGACCCAUGACGGUACCGUAAGAAUAAGCACCGGCUAACUACGUGCCAGCAGCCGC
rnacentral:rRNA from 1 species